rnacentral:misc_RNA from 1 species
GAAAUGCGAUACGUAAUGUGAAUUGCAGAAUUCAGUGAAUCAUCGAGUCUUUGAACGCACAUUGCGCCCUCUGGUAUUCCGGAGGGCAUGCCUGUCCGAGCGUCAUUGCUGCCCUCAAGCACGGCUUGUGUGUUGGGCCCCGUCCUCCUUCCGGGGGACGGGUCCGAAAGGCAGCGGCGGCACCGCGUCCGGUCCUCAAGCGUAUGGGGCUUUGUCACUCGCUUUGUAGGCCUGGCCGGCGCUUGCCGAUCAACCAAACUUUUUAUCAGGUUGACCUCGGAUCAGGUAGGGAUACCCGCUGAACUUAA